GAAGAAGACACAAAAUGAGAACAAAACUUGAUUUUAUCUCAGAAGGGAAGCAGAGUGUCAUGGUUACAAGAAACACAACUCGGGACAUAAAAUGCACCAUUUAUGUGAAUCCCAAGGGUCUUCUGCCAAACGCUGAGCUGAGUGGAGAAUUUGCUUUACAUAUAUUUGUGACUGCCAAUAAAUAGUUCAAAAUUAUGAACCUGAGCAUUGCAGACAGCUAUAGAUUUGAAAACUGAUUCCCUCUGUACCAGGAAGAAUGGCCCACAUAGAAGCAGAGCCAGGCAUGCAAAGCCAUUCGGAAUUAUGGGUCCCCUGAAGAUGUCUGAUCAAGAUAUUUGGCUGCUUAUGUCCAGAAGGAAGCUAAAGUUUGACAUUUUACAGAAGCUGGAACACACAGAAGCUGAGACUAACUCUGAACCUUUAUUAUUUCUGUAAGAAAAAUUCCCUCUAUUGUAACUAAAAUAUCUGACGAAUGCUCUUUUCCUUGUGGUGUUGCUUAUAAUUGCUUGGGGGGAAGAGUGGCUGGAAUCUAAGAGGUAGAACUGAGGUAACUGUCACAAGCAUGUAGAUUUGUAGUCAUGGAGCAUAUGAUA
rnacentral:lncRNA from 1 species